rnacentral:misc_RNA from 1 species
AUGAAUUGCUCUAUUGUUUUAUUAUGUUUUAAUAGGGGAAAAUAUCUAAAUUUUAAGGGGGAAGUGCUGUAGAAAUUUCAGUAUAAUUUUUAUUUAUUUCAUACAAAGUGUUUUAAUUAGCUAAUUAAUUAAUUAUUUAAGAACUACGUGGCUUCGAUCCCUUAUUUAAUAGGGGUACGUAGGCAGUUUAAGGUAAAUUGAACUUUA